GACAGAGGAUGCAAGCGUUAUCCGGAAUGAUUGGGCGUAAAGCGUCUGUAGGUGGCUUUUUAAGUCCGCCGUCAAAUCCCAGGGCUCAACCCUGGACAGGCGGUGGAAACUACCAAGCUGGAGUACGGUAGGGGCAGAGGGAAUUUCCGGUGGAGCGGUGAAAUGCGUAGAGAUCGGAAAGAACACCAACGGCGAAAGCACUCUACUGGGCCGAUCUCGUCACUGAGAGACGAAAAGCUAGGGGGAGCAAAUGGG
rnacentral:rRNA from 1 species